rnacentral:rRNA from 1 species
UACGUAGGUGACAAGCGUUGUCCGGAUUUACUGGGCGUAAAGAGCGCGCAGGCGGUCGUUCAAGUCGAGUGUGAAAGCCCCCGGCUCAACUGGGGAGGGUCACUCGAUACUGAUCGACUCGAAGGCAGGAGAAGGAAGUGGAAUUCCCGGUGUAGUGGUGAAAUGCGUAGAUAUCGGGAGGAACACCAGUGGCGAAGGCGACUUCCUGGCCUGUUCUUGACGCUGAGGCGCGAAAGCUAGGGGAGCAAACGGG